rnacentral:lncRNA from 10 species
CAUAGCUUGACUAAAGACUGUUUAAGGUGAUUCUGGUGAACACUCAGGAAGAAAAGGGGAGGCAUGGAGGAAGGCUCUAUCAUCUUAGACAAUACAUCUGUCACCAUGCAUGGGAUGCUGGUAGAAACGUGGACGGUAAAGGCCAUUCUGGGGAGAUCUCAGACGGAAAUGAAGAAUGUGUUUUUGGAAGCUGGAGGAAAGGCGAUUUUCUUUGUGGCCUACCUGCACCGUAUUCAGAAGUUGGAGAAUCAAUAAGGACCAGGUGUUUAAUCGCGAAAGGAAGUGCCUCAGGCUGUGGCUGGCGUUUGAAGGGCUGCUCCACACAUAUCAAUCAUCCUUUGACAAGAUCUGGAAGGAAAAAAAAACAACAACAAAAGCCACCCCCCAAAAAGGUUAA